GAUGAACGCUGGCGGCGUGCUUAACACAUGCAAGUCGAACGGAAAGGCCCAAGCUUGCUUGGGUCCUCGAGUGGCGAACGGGUGAGUAACACGUGGGUGAUCUGCCCUGCACUUCGGGAUAAGCCUGGGAAACUGGGUCUAAUACCGGAUAGGACCACAUUUUGGAUGGUGUGGUGGAAAGUUUUUCGGUGUGGGAUGAGCUCGCGGCCUAUCAGCUUGUUGGUGGGGUAAUGGCCUACCAAGGCGUCGACGGGUAGCCGGCCUGAGAGGGUGUACGGCCACAUUGGGACUGAGAUACGGCCCAGACUCCUACGGGAGGCAGCAGGGGGGAAUAUUGCACAAUGGGCGCAAGCCUGAUGCAGCGACGCCGCGUGGGGGAUGACGGCCUUCGGGUUGUAAACUCCUUUCGCUAGGGACGAAGCGUUAUGUGACGGUACCUGGAGAAGAAGCACCGGCUAACUACGUG
rnacentral:rRNA from 1 species